AGCCUUGAUGUGGGGACUUGGGCCGGAGAGGAUUCAGAGUGGCCACGGUGAGCCUUGAUGUGGGGACUUGGAGCCGGAGGGGAUUCAGAGUGGCCGCGGUGAUCACCUUUGGGAUUUUAACUAAGCAUUGGUUUUCUUUAAAUUUCCUUUAAUUAUUAUUUAUUCUUGGGUUGUAAUAAGGCCAUUUUACCUGUUCUUUUAUUUCUUUUCGGGAUUAUUUUAUUUUUAAUAAUUUUAAAACUGGUUGAUAA